rnacentral:rRNA from 1 species
UACGGAGGGGGCGAGCGUUAUUCGGAAUUAUUGGGCGUAAAGGGCGCGUAGGCGGCCUUGUAAGUCAAAGGUGAAAUCCCUCGGCUCAACUGAGGAACUGCCUUUGAAACUGCAAGGCUUGAGGCCGGGAGGGGGUAGCGGAAUUCCCAAUGUAGCGGUGAAAUGCGUAGAUAUUGGGAGGAACACCAGUGGCGAAGGGCGGCUACCCUGGA